rnacentral:rRNA from 1 species
GAUGAACGCUGGCGGCGUGCCUAAUACAUGCAAGUCGAGCGAACAGACGAGGAGCUUGCUCCUCUGACGUUAGCGGCGGACGGGUGAGUAACACGUGGAUAACCUACCUAUAAGACUGGGAUAACUUCGGGAAACCGGAGCUAAUACCGGAUAAUAUAUUGAACCGCAUGGUUCAAUAGUGAAAGACGGUUUUGCUGUCACUUAUAGAUGGAUCCGCGCCGCAUUAGCUAGUUGGUAAGGUAACGGCUUACCAAGGCAACGAUGCGUAGCCGACCUGAGAGGGUGAUAGGACACACUGGAACUGAGAAACGGUCCAGACUCCUACGGGAGGCAGCAGUAGGGAAUCUUCAGCAAUGGGCGAAAGCCUGACGGAGCAAAGCCGCGUGAGUGAUGAAGGCCUUCGGAUCGUAAAACUCUGUUAUUAGGGAAGAACAAAUGUGUAAGUAACUAUGCACGUCUUGACGGUACCUAAUCAGAAAGCCACGGCUAACUACGUG